AACAACCGGUAAUGAGUAUACCCUCCUGGCGGUUCCUAGUGAGUCAUCCUUGAUAUGUUCAUCCUAACUGCUGACGGGUGUCCUCUCUGUCAGAUUUUUAUUAUCUUCUUACCCAGUAACAUAUAGUGGAUAAUAAAUUUCUGCUCCUCCUGAGUUGAAGUUUAUUUCUUCCCCCAGUUGAGUUGAGUGCGUAUUUCCAUAAUGAAAACGCCUUUCCUACAUAAUUCGAGUACCUCAGUUAUUU
rnacentral:lncRNA from 1 species